UCAUUAACUGAAUCCAUAGGUUAAUGAGGCGAACCGGGGGAACUGAAACAUCUAAGUACCCCGAGGAAAAGAAAUCAACCGAGAUUCCCCCAGUAGCGGCGAGCGAACGGGGAGGAGCCCAGAGCCUGAAUCAGUGUGUGUGUUAGUGGAAGCGUCUGGAAAGGCGCGCGAUACAGGGUGACAGCCCCGUACACAAAAAUGCACAUGCUGUGAGCUCGAUGAGUAGGGCGGGACACGUGGUAUCCUGUCUGAAUAUGGGGGGACCAUCCUCCAAGGCUAAAUACUCCUGACUGACCGAUAGUGAACCAGUACCGUGAGGGAAAGGCGAAAAGAACCCCGGCGAGGGGAGUGAAAAAGAACCUGAAACCGUGUACGUACAAGCAGUGGGAGCACGCUUAGGCGUGUGACUGCGUACCUUUUGUAUAAUGGGUCAGCGACUUAUAUUCUGUAGCAAGGUUAACCGAAUAGGGGAGCCGAAGGGAAACCGAGUCUUAACUGGGCGUUAAGUUGCAGGGUAUAGACCCGAAACCCGGUGAUCUAGCCAUGGGCAGGUUGAAGGUUGGGUAACACUAACUGGAGGACCGAACCGACUAAUGUUGAAAAAUUAGCGGAUGACUUGUGGCUGGGGGUGAAAGGCCAAUCAAACCGGGAGAUAGCUGGUUCUCCCCGAAAGCUAUUUAGGUAGCGCCUCGUGAAUUCAUCUCCGGGGGUAGAGCACUGUUUCGGCAAGGGGGUCAUCCCGACUUACCAACCCGAUGCAAACUGCGAAUACCGGAGAAUGUUAUCACGGGAGACACACGGCGGGUGCUAACGUCCGUCGUGAAGAGGGAAACAACCCAGACCGCCAGCUAAGGUCCCAAAGUCAUGGUUAAGUGGGAAACGAUGUGGGAAGGCCCAGACAGCCAGGAUGUUGGCUUAGAAGCAGCCAUCAUUUAAAGAAAGCGUAAUAGCUCACUGGUCGAGUCGGCCUGCGCGGAAGAUGUAACGGGGCUAAACCAUGCACCGAAGCUGCGGCAGCGACGCUUAUGCGUUGUUGGGUAGGGGAGCGUUCUGUAAGCCUGUGAAGGUGUGCUGUGAGGCAUGCUGGAGGUAUCAGAAGUGC
rnacentral:rRNA from 1 species